rnacentral:rRNA from 1 species
AUUGAACGCUGGCGGCAGGCUUAACACAUGCAAGUCGAGCGGGGGAAGGUAGCUUGCUACCGGACCUAGCGGCGGACGGGUGAGUAAUGCUUAGGAAUCUGCCUAUUAGUGGGGGACAACAUCUCGAAAGGGAUGCUAAUACAGCAUACGUCCUACGGGAGAAAGCAGGGGAUCUUCGGACCUUGCGCUAAUAGAUGAGCCUAAGUAGGAUUAGCUAGUUGGUGGGGUAAAGGCCUACCAAGGCGACGAUCUGUAGCGGGUCUGAGAGGAUGAUCCGCCACACUGGGACUGAGACACGGCCCAGACUCCUACGGGAGGCAGCAGUGGGGAAUAUUGGACAAUGGGGGGAACCCUGAUCCAGCCAUGCCGCGUGUGUGAAGAAGGCCUUAUGGUUGUAAAGCACUUUAAGCGAGGAGGAGGCUACUUUAGUUAAUACCUAGAGAUAGUGGACGUUACUCGCAGAAUAAGCACCGGCUAACUCUGUGCCAGCCGCCGCUGUAA